UAAGGAAUAUUGGUCAAUGGGCGCAAGCCUGAACCAGCCAUGCCGCGUGUAGUAUGACGGCCCUUCGGGUUGUAACCUACUUUUGAAUGGGAAGAAACCCCGAGAUUUAUCUUGGGCUGACGGUACCAUUAGAAUAAGCACCGGCUAACUCCGUGCCAGCAGCCGCGGUAAUACGGAGGGUGCGAGCGUUAUCCGGAAUCACUGGGUUUAAAGGGUGCGUAGGCGGUCUGUUAAGUCAGUAUUGAAAGCCUGGAGCUUAACUUCGGAAUUGGUAUUGAUACUGACAGACUUGAAUCAGGAUGAGGUAGGCGGAAUGUGACAUGUAGCGGUGAAAUGCUUAGAUAUGUCAUAGAACACCGAUUGCGUAGGCAGCCUACUGGGCCUAGAUUGACGCUGAGGC
rnacentral:rRNA from 1 species